rnacentral:rRNA from 1 species
UACAGAGGUCUCGAGCGUUGUUCGGUUUCAUUGGGCGUAAAGGGUGCGUAGGUGGCUAGGUAAGUCGGAUGUGAAAUCCCGGGGCUUAACCCCGGGCGUGCAGUGGAUACGGGCUGGCUGGAGGCAGGCAGGGGAGAAUGGAAUUCCCGGUGUAGCGGUGAAAUGCGCAGAUAUCGGGAGGAACACCGGUGGCGAAAGCGGUCGACUGGACCUUUUCUGACGCUGAGGCGCGAAAGCCAGGGGAGCAAACGGG